rnacentral:lncRNA from 1 species
CUCACAUCAAUAGCAUUGUCAUCAUGAAGCUGGCAAGCAAUGUCUGCUGCAGUCAUUCUUGGAUCUAUCACAGCUUUCCUUCUAAUAAGUCAGUCUUCUUGAACUAUUGCUUUUCUUGACCUUCCAGGACAUGCUUUAUCUUUCAAUCCUAAGCCUGUAUUUAUCCAGAAUAUCAUUCAUGAUUGAUUUUAUUGAUGAAAAGCAAGAAUGAAAUCUCACGAGAUGUUCUCCUCCUCCAACAAUAGGCCAAUACACUGAUGCAACUAAAUAGUUAUGUGUGGAGUCAUAGUUGUGCCUUGAAAAUAUAAACUGAAUUUUCUUCUUCGAGUACUGUUGUCCUUAUAAUGAUUUGCAUUUUGCAUAGUGCUGUUGAGUGCUGCUAAAGUAUGGAAUGUUGGUUUUAUCAGAAAUUUUUGCACAUACUUACUUUGAUAUUUGUGUAUUUGUGAACUGUAAUAAUAUAUCGUUGUAUAUAAUCAUAAUUGCUUCAUCAUUAGCUGUAUUUGGAUUGUUUCAAAUAUUAGUAUUAGUUUUCUUUUUUUAUAUUUCAGGUUUUAUGAGAGUGCAUGGCGUUUCUUAUCUGGCCAGAAACUUUUGCACAC